rnacentral:lncRNA from 1 species
GUCAUCGCAUCGUGAUUGGACGAACGAGAGUCAACCCACCAUAGGCCAUUCCCUAUAUAUAAACCCACCCUAUGGAGAAAGCCUCUCACUCUCUAAGGUUUCGCCUUGCCAAAAUUGCAUUCACCCCCCUCAAAAACCCCACAUGUUAGCCCCAAACCCUCGAGAUCCCGCAACCCUAGCCAUUUGUCCAAUUCUGGCCCUCAAAUUCGAAAUCUGGGGCUCAUAUUGCAUCUCCUAGCCCCACCGGACAUUGUCCGCGAUCAACCCCAACAUGUCCGGUGACCGCAUGCCCUAGAUCCCGCACCCGCCGUUGUUCGCUCGAGCUCCUCCCAUGGUGUAUGUCGCCCGUGCUGGUGCGCCUCUGCCCGUUCC